rnacentral:rRNA from 1 species
GACGAACGCUGGCGGCGUGCUUAACACAUGCAAGUCGAGCGGUAAGGCCCUUUCGGGGGUACGACGAGCGGCGAACGGGUGAGUAACACGUGGGUGACCUGCCCUCAGCUCUGGGAUAAGCCUGGGAAACUGGGUCUAAUACUGGAUAUGACUCCACGGUGCAUGUCGUGGGGUGGAAAGCCUUGUGCGGCUGAGGAUGGGCCCGCGGCCUAUCAGCUUGUUGGUGGGGGGAUGGCCUACCAA